rnacentral:rRNA from 1 species
AUUGAACGCUGGCGGCAGGCCUAACACAUGCAAGUCGAACGGUAACAGGAAGCAGCUUGCUGCUUUGCUGACGAGUGGCGGACGGGUGAGUAAUGUCUGGGAAACUGCCUGAUGGAGGGGGAUAACUACUGGAAACGGUAGCUAAUACCGCAUAACGUCGCAAGACCAAAGAGGGGGACCUUCGGGCCUCUUGCCAUCGGAUGUGCCCAGAUGGGAUUAGCUAGUAGGUGGGGUAACGGCUCACCUAGGCGACGAUCCCUAGCUGGUCUGAGAGGAUGACCAGCCACACUGGAACUGAGACACGGUCCAGACUCCUACGGGAGGCAGCAGUGGGGAAUAUUGCACAAUGGGCGCAAGCCUGAUGCAGCCAUGCCGCGUGUAUGAAGAAGGCCUUCGGGUUGUAAAGUACUUUCAGCGGGGAGGAAGGGAGUAAAGUUAAUACCUUUGCUCAUUGACGUACCCGCAGAAGAGCACCGCA